CCCUUAGAUGUUCUGGGCCGCACGCGCGCUACACUGACGAUGGCAACGAGUUUUUCCUUCGCCGAAAGGUGUGGGUAAUCUUUUGAAACAUCGUCGUGCUGGGGAUAGAUCAUUGCAAUUUUUGAUCUUGAACGAGGAAUUCCUAGUAAGCGCGAGUCAUCAGCUCGCGUUGAUUACGUCCCUGCCCUUUGUACACACCGCCCGUCGCUACUACCGAUUGAUUGGUUUAGUGAGGACUCCUGAUUGGCGCCGCCGCCCCGGCAACGGAGCAGCGGACUGCCGAAAAGUUGUUCAAACUUGAUCAUUUAGAGGAAGUAAAAGUCGUAACA
rnacentral:rRNA from 1 species